rnacentral:rRNA from 1 species
UAACACGUAGUCAAUCUACCCUAUGGACGGGGAUAACCUCGGGAAACUGAGAAUAAUACCCGAUAGAUCAUAAUACCUGGAAUGGUUUAUGGUUAAAAUGAUUUUUCGCCGUAGGAUGGGACUGCGGUCUAUCAGCUUGCUGGUGAGGUAAUGGCCCACCAAGGCUAAGACAGAUACGGGCUCUGAGAGGAGAAGCCCGGAGAUGGGUACUGAGACACGGACCCAGGUCCUAUGGGGCGCAGCAGGCGAGAAAACUUUGCAGUGUGCGAAAGCACGACAAGGUUAAUCCGAGUGUUUUCUGCUAAAGAAAUCUUUUGUUAGUUCUAAAACCACUAACGAAUAAGGGGUGGGCAAGUUCUGGUGUCAGCCGCCGCGGUAAAACCAGCACCUCAAGUGGUCAGGAGGAUUAUUGGGCCUAAAGCAUCCGUAGCCGGCUAUGUUAGUUUUCGGUUAAAUCCAUGUGCUCAACACAUGGGCUGUCGAGAAUACUGCAUAGCUAGGGAGUGGGAAAGGUAGACGGUACUCGAUAGGAAGGGGUAAAAUCCUUUGAUCUAUUGAUGACCACCAGUGGCGAAGGCGGUCUACCAGAACACGUCCGACGGUGAGGGAUGAAAGCUGGGGGAAGCAAACCGGAUUAGAUACCCGGGUAGUCCCAGCUGUAAACUAUGCAAACUCAGUGAUGCAUUGGCUUGUGGCCAGUGCAGUGCCGCAGAGAAGUCGUUAAGUUUGCCGCCUGGGAAGUACGUACGCAAGUAUGAAACUUAAAGGAAUUGGCGGGGGAGCACCACAAGGGGUGAAGCCUGCGGUUCAAUAGGAGUCAACGCCAGAAAUCUUACCCGGAGAGACAGCAGAAUGAAGGUCAAGUUGAAGACUUUACCAGACAAGCUGAGAAGUGGUGCAUGGCCGUCGCCAGCUCGUGCCGUGAGAUGUCCUGUUAAGUCAGGUAACGAGCGAGAUCCUUGCCUCUAGUUGCCACCAUUACUCUCAGGAGUAAUGGGGCGAAUUAGCGGGACUGCCGUAGUUAAUACGGAGGAAGGAGAGGGCCACGGCAGGUCAGUAUGCCCUGAAACUCUGGGGCCACACGCGGGCUGCAAUGGUAGUGACAAUGGGUUCCGAAUCCGAAAGGAGGAGGUAAUCCUCAAACGCUACCACAGUUAUGACUGAGGGCUGCAACUCGCC